AUACAGCGCACAAAAGUAAAAUACAAAAGAGAAAAUGACCCCUAGGGGGCCCAAGCCAACCAACAAACAGCCCAAAUAAGGCCCAAAGCUUAAUAGCUUGAAACAAACCAAAGUAGUUGAUCAAAUCCGGUAAAGCAAUCCAACGCAGGCGACAACCAGCAUCAAGCUUUCAAAGCUUUCAGAGCUGCAGAGAAGACCCAUCUGGAGGUCGAGGGGGAGGGCGAAUGAAGGAAGAAGGAAGAUCCCAAACAUGACGGGCACGCCGAGCAGCCACACCAUCCUUGAAUGAUAGAGGCAGGAGCCGUUCUCUGAUGGAGGUCAUGAUUUUGAACAAGACAGAGUUCUGAGAACUUGAAAUGUCUUUGAAGAUUCUCGAGUUCCUUUCUGCCCAGAUGUGAUAAAUGGAUGCUGAAAGUGCCAAUUUGUUUAUGGCAUUUGCAAUGUUUUUGGAUGACCAGUGAUGUGAAGCCCAAAAAAUGAAGUCAUUCCAUUCUGAUCUUGUGUAGAAGCCGCAUGUAUUUUGCAAAUAGGACCAAAUUGGAGCAGUAAAUGAGCAAGAGAAAAAGAUGUGAUUCAGUGAUUCUCUAGAGGAAAGGCACAGUGAGCAGUGAUUUGGGAUAUGCUUAUAGGCCAUGGAAUUGCUGUCAAGAGUGGGUAGCUUGUUAAGAAUUGCCAACCAAAGGAUGACCCUAUGUCGAGGGAUGGACAAAGAAUUCCAAACAAGUUGGUACCAUGGGGCUGGAGGUGUGGGAAUGGUUAAUGCCUCAAUUGUAUGCUUAAGAGAAUAUUUGCCAUUUGGUGAUGGCCUCCAAGUGAAUGAAUCUAUACCUAAACCAGGAGGGGGAAGAAGAUUUAAGCUUGGCAGUAGCAAGGUCAUGUCUCUGGGGAAGAUCCAUGAGUUUCCACACAAGCAACUAUUCAAUCUAGCAUUGAGACGAAUUCUAGAAGCAUUGAUUUGGGCAUGAGAAAAGCUACUGCAGAGAGGGCUAUCCUCUAACCAGUUGUGAUGCCAGAAGUAGCCAUGAAAAAAAGAAGGAAUUCAACUGAAGAGGGCAACAAAGAAGCAGAGAAGUCCGACGAUGAACAAAUUCAGAUAUCGGGUUGUUCGUUCAUAGAUCUCCCAAGUCCUAUAUUGGUUGAUAUUCUACUAAAACUCGGUGUAAAGAGUAUUCUAAUUUGCAAGUGUGUGUGCAAAACUUGGCGCAAUAUUAUUUUGGAUCCUCAGUUUGCCAAGCUGCAAUUUGAGCAAGCAGAGCCUUGCCCUCUGCUUCGGACAGAAUUGGAUGUAAGGCCCGCAACACGUGUGUCAAGAACUCUUUACUUGGUUGAGCCUGAAAAUUUCCACAAUUUCGAUCUCGGAGAAUGCUUUUGUUACUGGGGUUAUAGAGUGCUAAAAUAUUUUCAUUGUAACCGUCAUGUUAACAUGAAGCUUGAAACCAAAUUGAAGAUCCCAUUGCGCAAUCCUGAAACAGUACCAUCAAAGAUUCAACAUUGCCAAUUCAUGCAAUGGCUUUCUUUGCUUGUCUGAACCAUUGGGUCACUAUUGUUGUGUGUAAUCCAAUCACAGGUGAAUACAUAAACCUUCCGGUGGCUGUGGCUGAUUGUUGUGACGGGAAUUUCAAAUAUAUCUUUGGUUUUGGAUUGGGCUUCAGUCCAAGAACUAGUCAAUACAAGGUGGUUAGAGUGUUUGAUCAAUACAGUCUUAAUCCCAUUACAGGCAAGAAAGAAUAUGACUGUACUCAGGCUGAGAUACACACUGUUGGCUCGGGAUCAUGGGAAAGCAUGGGUGAUGUUCCCUAUUAUAAGCUAGAAUUCCCAACCUAUUUGAAUGGAGCUCUUUAUUGGUUCCAUAAUGACAUGAACACUUCUGUUUAUAUAGUUUCUUUUAACCUUGAUGACGAGAAGUUCCAUUCAGUUCCCUUUCCUUCUCAUGAAAAUGGUGACACGGUUGGUUUGAGCACGAUCGAUAAUGUGUCCAUGGGAGUACUACAAGGCUGUCUAUGCAUAUGUGAUGCCUCCAAUGGGAAUUCUAUUCAUGUAUGGAUAACAAUGAGAAGCAAAUCUUGGACAAAAAUGUUCUCUAUUGAUACCCUGCAUGAUGAGAGGUUGUCUAACUGUUUAUAUUUGCCAAUGAAUUACCUAAAGGAUUGAGCAGUAUUGAUGUUUAAUUAUUCUAGAAGUGCUCUGGUUCGUUUUGACCUUAAAGGACCAGAUUUUAAAUAUCUUAAAGUUCAUGGGGUUAAAUCCGAAUUUGAGGCAUAUGCUUAUAUUCCGAGCUUCAUUUCACUCAAGGAUGCCGUUGUUGGUGAUAAUGUGGCGGUGCUGAAUAUCAAUUCGAGCUUAAGGCAUGGUGAUUAGAUGGAUAAACAAGUCCAGCAAUAAUCAAAUGGAUGCUGAGGGUGUGGUUAAAUCCGAAUUUGAGGCAUAUGCUUAUAUUCCGAGCUUUAUUUCACUCAAGGAUGCCGUUGUUGGUGAUAAUGUGGCGGUGCUGAAUAUCAAUUCGAGGUGUGCAGAAUUCAGAGUUCAGGGAGAGACUAAGCCUCUUUUUUUGGUUGAAGAAUAUUGGCGAUAGCGAUUCAAUUGCUUGUCGAGAUCGUCUAAUGAUACUAAAUGGCGGGACAAGAUCUGAAGUUUGAGCAGUUGAGCACAUAUACUUUUACUGGAGGGGUCAUGCAUGUAGGUUGGAAACUCUGGAAGCUUGACAAAUCCUCCCUAAUACCAAGAAUGUCAAGUUCCAUAAGUUGAUAUUUUGCUUCCUCUUAGUAGUUGUUCACUUUUUUCUUUUUCAUUUUUUAUUAUUUUUAUUAUUAUUAUUAUUUUUAUGGUUAUGGGAAGAUAGUAAUGAAUAUUUGGCCUAGUAGGUCACAAGAAACAAUACUGUUUUUUUGUGGAUAGAGACUUGUUUAAAUUUUUUAGGUGAAGGGAAUAUAUAUUGAUAACUAAAUUAGAAAAUGUAACUAUAUCUUUCUCAUGCUUGGCUUAGGAUUCACUAGGAAGUCAUCAGGAAAAUUACGAUUCAAACAUAUUUACACAAUUAUUAUAAUAGGCCAUAAAAUAGCCCAUUGUUGUA